UAAAAAGUCUGAGAAAGAAAUUGCAGGA
rnacentral:piRNA from 1 species